rnacentral:rRNA from 1 species
GACGAACGCUGGCGGCGUGCUUAACACAUGCAGGUCGAACGGAAAGGCCCUGCUUGCAGGGUACUCGAGUGGCGAACGGGUGAGUAACACGUGGGUGAUCUGCCCUGCACUUCGGGAUAAGCCUGGGAAACUGGGUCUAAUACCGGAUAGGAGCCAUUUUUAGUGUGAUGGUUGGAAAGUUUUUUCGGUGUAGGAUGAGCUCGCGGCCUAUCAGCUUGUUGGUGGGGUAAUGGCCUACCAAGGCGGCGACGGGUAGCCGGCCUGAGAGGGUGGACGGCCACAUUGGGACUGAGAUACGGCCCAGACUCCUACGGGAGGCAGCAGUGGGGAAUAUUGCACAAUGGGCGCAAGCCUGAUGCAGCGACGCCGCGGGGGGGAUGACGGCCUUCGGGUUGUAAACUCCUUUCGCUAGGGACGAAGCUUUUUGUGACGGUACCUAGAUAAGAAGCACCGGCUAACUACGUG